UCCGUUAUCACCACCUCCACCUCCGUUUCCAUGGUCAUGAUCAUGUCCUCCCCAUCCACCAUGAUGAUGAUCAUGAUGAUCAUGACCACCCCAACCUCCAUGAUCAUGCCCCCCGUGGUCAUGUCCCCCAUGGUCGUGGCCUCCAUGAUC
ensembl:ncRNA F48C1.14 ncRNA